AAAAAGGAACCAGGGAUCCUCAGAGAAAGGACUGAUUCUAAGCCCAGGGCAAGAAAUAUGCAAGAUGAUCCUGAAGCAUCUUGCAGUGGCAGAAGGGACCAGAAAAAGACAUGCUAUGAAUAUAGUAAGUGUUCAAUGAAGGCAAAGUGGAACGGAAUCUGAUGUAGCCUUUGUGAAUGGACAUAGUGCUUUUUGUCUCUGGGGAGGAAAAUACAGAUCAAUAGAACCAAUGACUGAGACCAUGGACAAUUACUGUGCAGAGAAUGUGAGGAAGAAUACACACUGAAGAAGGAGUGAUGCAGAAAGAAGAGAAUAAGGAUAAAGUUACCAGGACCAAAAGUGCUGAGAAUGAGUU
rnacentral:lncRNA from 10 species